GGGGAAUAUUGCACAAUGGGCGAAAGCCUGAUGCAGCAACGCCGCGUGAGCGAUGAAGGCCUUCGGGUCGUAAAGCUCUGUCCUCAAGGAAGAUAAUGACGGUACUUGAGGAGGAAGCCCCGGCUAACUACGUGCCAGCAGCCGCGGUAAUACGUAGGGGGCUAGCGUUAUCCGGAAUUACUGGGCGUAAAGGGUGCGUAGGCGGUCUUUCAAGCCAGAAGUGAAAGGCUACGGCUCAACCGUAGUAAGCUUUUGGAACUGUAAGACUUGAGUGCAGGAGAGGAGAGUGGAAUUCCUAGUGUAGCGGUGAAAUGCGUAGAUAUUAGGAGGAACACCAGUAGCGAAGGCGGCUCUCUGGACUGUAACUGACGCUGAGGCACGAAAGCGUGGGGAGCAAAC
rnacentral:rRNA from 1 species